rnacentral:rRNA from 1 species
CCCUUAGAUGUUCUGGGCUGCACGCGCGCUACACUGACGCACGCAACAGGUGCCUGCUCCGAGAGGACUGGGUAAUCAUUUGAGUGUGCGUCGGGAUGGGGAUAGAAUAUUGUAAUUAUUACUCUUCAACGAGGAAUUCCUAGUAAGCGCCAGUCAGCAGCUUGCGCUGAUUACGUCCCUGCCCUUUGUACACACCGCCCGUCGCUCCUACCGAUGGGUGAUCCGGUGAAUGAUUCGGACUUCAGCGGCUCCCCUGGGGUGCGCCGGAGAAAGUUUUGUGAACCUUAUCACUUGGAGGAAGGAGAAGUCGUAACA